UGGGGAAUAUUGGACAAUGGGCGAAAGCCUGAUCCAGCCAUGCCGCGUGUGUGAAGAAGGUCUUCGGAUUGUAAAGCACUUUAAGUUGGGAGGAAGGGCAGUAAGCGAAUACCUUGCUGUUUUGACGUUACCGACAGAAUAAGCACCGGCUAACUCUGUGCCAGCAGCCGCGGUAAUACAGAGGGUGCAAGCGUUAAUCGGAAUUACUGGGCGUAAAGCGCGCGUAGGUGGUUCGUUAAGUUGAAUGUUAAAGCCCCGGGCUCAACCUGGGAACUGCAUCCAAAACUGGCGAGCUAGAGUAGGGCAGAGGGUGGUGGAAUUUCCUGUGUAGCGGUGAAAUGCGUAGAUAUAGGAAGGAACACCAGUGGCGAAGGCGACCACCUGGGCUCAUACUGACACUGAGGUGCGAAAGCGUGGGGAGCAAACAGG
rnacentral:rRNA from 1 species